rnacentral:rRNA from 1 species
CAGCCGUAAACUAUGCGCGUUAGGUGUAUCGGUGACCACGAGUUACCGAGGUGCCGAAGGGAAACCGUGAAACGUGCCGCCUGGGAAGUACGGUCGCAAGGCUGAAACUUAAAGGAAUUGGCGGGGGAGCACCACAACAGGUGGAGCCUGCGGUUUAAUUGGACUCAACGCCGGGAAGCUCACCGGAUAGGACAGCAGAAUGAUUGCCGGGCUGAAGACCCUGCAUGACUAGCUGAGAGGUGGUGAUGGCGUCAGUGACU